UAGGGAAUCUUCGGCAAUGGGGGGAACCCUGACCGAGCAACGCCGCGUGAGUGAAGAAGGUUUUCGGAUCGGAAAGCUCUGUUGUUAAGGAAGAACGAGUGUGAGAAUGGAAAGUUCAUGCUGUGACGGUACUUAACCAGAAAGGGACGGCUAACUACGUGCCAGCAGCCGCGGUAAUACGUAGGUCCCGAGCGUUGUCCGGAUUUAUUGGGCGUAAAGCGAGCGCAGGCGGUUAGAAAAGUCUGAAGUGAAAGGCAGUGGCUCAACCAUUGUAGGCUUUGGAAACUGUUUAACUUGAGUGCAGAAGGGGAGAGUGGAAUUCCAUGUGUAGCGGUGAAAUGCGUAGAUAUAUGGAGGAACACCGGUGGCGAAAGCGGCUCUCUGGUCUGUAACUGACGCUGAGGCUCGAAAGCGUGGGGAGCGAACAGG
rnacentral:rRNA from 1 species